rnacentral:rRNA from 1 species
UUAACAGCGAGUUUGAUCGGCGGCUCAGAUUGAACGCUGGCGGCAGGCCUAACACAUGCAAGUCGAACGGUAACAGGAAGCAGCUUGCUGCUUUUGCUGACGAGUGGCGGACGGCGAGUACGUCUGAAAACUGCCUGAUGGAGGGGGGAUAACUACUGAAACGGUGGCUAAUACCGCAUAACGUCGCAAGACCAAAGAGGGGGACCUUCGGGCCUUCUUGCCAUCAGAUGUGCCCAGAUGGGAUUAGCUGUUGGUGAGGUAACGGCUCACCAUGACGAUCCCUACUGGUCUGAGGAUGACCAGCCACACUGAACUGAGACAUUCGGUCCAGACCCUACGGAGGCAGCAGUGGGGAAUAUUGCACAAUGGGCGCAAGCCUGAUGCAGCCAUGCCGCGCGUAUGAAGAAGGCCUGUAAAGUACUUUCAGCGGGAGGAAGGCGGUUGUGGUUAAUAACCGCAGCACUGACGUUACCCGCAGAAGAAGCACCAUAAUCCCGUGCCAGCAGCCGCGGUAAUACGGAGGGUGCAAGCGUUAAUCGGAAUUACUACGUAAAGCGCACGCGGCAGGCGGUCUGUCGUCGGAUGUGAAAUCCCCGGGCUCAACCCGAACCGCAUUCGAAACUGGCAGGCUUGAGUCUUGUAGAGGGGGUGAAUCUGUGUGUAGCGGUGAAAUGCGUAGAGAUCUGAGGAAUACCGGUGGCGAAGGCGGCCCCUCGACAAAGACCGACGCUCAGGUGCGAAAAGCGUGAGCAAACAGGAUUAGAUACCCCGGUAGUCCACGCCGUAAACGAUGUCUACUUGAGGUUGUGCCUGAGGCGUGGCUUCCGGAGCUAACGCAAGUUACAGACCGCCCGGGGAGUACGGCCGCAAGGUUAAAACUCAAAUGAAUUGACGGGGCCCGCAAUGCUGGUGGAGCAUGUGGUUUACCCGAUGCAACGCGAAGAACCCUUUACCGGUCUUGACAUCCACGGAAGUUUUCAGAGAUGAGAAUGUGCCUCGGGAACCGUGAGACAGGUGCUACGGCUGUCGUCAGCUCGUGCUGAAAUGUUAGUUAAGUCCCAACGAGCGCAACCCUUAUCCUUUGUUGCCAGCGAUUAGGUCGGGAACUCAAAGGAGACUGCCAGUGAUAAACUGAGGAAGGUGGGGAUGACGUCAACGCACCCUGCCCACCGUACACACGUGCCACAAUGGCGCAUACAAAGAGAAGCGACCUCGCGAGCAAGCGGACCUCAUAAAGUGCGUCAGUCCGAUUGAGUUCGCAACUCGACUCCAUGAAGUCGGAAUCGCUAGUAAUCAGAUCAGAAUGCCACGCAGAAUACGUUCCCGGCCUUGUACACACCGCCCGCUCACAAUCUCAUGGAGUGGCUGCAAAGAAGUAGGUAGCUUAACCGGGAGGGCGCUACCACUUUGUGAUUCAUGACUGGGGUGAAGUCGCACAAGGUAACCGUAGGGGAACCUGCGGUUGAUCACCUUACCUU